GUUUAAGUAAUUUGCACAGUAUCAUCUUAAAAGCUUUUUUCAUUUUCUCUUUUUAGAUCUACUUCCCAUAGUUUUCUUUGUUUUGUUUGAUAAAUAUUAUUUUAGUUUCCUCUCAGAAUUUAUCAUCAGAAAAAUCCGUUAUAAAUGCAGUAUGAAAACAAACUGAAACUGGUUCUAAAGGUCAUCUAGUUGUUUUAGUUGCAAUUACCCUUUUGUGACUAUUUCACAUAUAUCAUACUGAAUAAAUG
rnacentral:lncRNA from 1 species